rnacentral:rRNA from 1 species
GAUGACGGUACCGUGAGAAUAAGCCACGGCUAACUCUGUGCCAGCAGCCGCGGUAAGACAGAGGUGGCAAGCGUUGUUCGGAAUUACUGGGCGUAAAGAGUCUGUAGGUGGUUUGUCAAGUCUUUGGUGAAAGGCCGUAGCUUAACUAUGGGAAUGCCAAAGAGACUGGCAGGCUGGAGGCUGGGAGAGGGAAGCGGAAUUUCUGGUGUAGCGGUGAAAUGCGUAGAUAUCAGAAGGAAGGCCGGUGGCGAAGGCGGCUUCCUGGAACAGUCCUGACACUGAGAGACGAAAGCGUGGGGAGCAAACAGGAUUAGAUACCCUGGUAGUCCACGCCCUAAACGAUGGGUACUAAGUGUGGAGGGG